rnacentral:rRNA from 1 species
UGCAGUCGAACGGCAGCACAGUAAGAGCUUGCUCUUAUGGGUGGCGAGUGGCGGACGGGUGAGGAAUACAUCGGAAUCUACCUUUUGGUGGGGGAUAACGUAGGGAAACUUACGCUAAUACCGCAUACGCCCUUCGGGGGAAAGCCGGGGACCUUCGGGCCUGGCGCUGAUAGAUGAGCCGAUGUCGGAUUAGCUAGUUGGUGAGGUAAUGGCUCACCAAGGCGACGAUCCGUAGCUGGUCUGAGAGGAUGAUCAGCCACACUGGAACUGAGACACGGUCCAGACUCCUACGGGAGGCAGCAGUGGGGAAUAUUGGACAAUGGGCGCAAGCCUGAUCCAGCCAUACCGCGUGGGUGAAGAAGGCCUUCGGGUUGUAAAGCCCUUUUGUUGGGAAAGAAAAGCAUCCGGUUAAUACCCGGUUGUUCUGACGGUACCCAAAGAAUAAGCACCGGCUAACUUCGUGCCAGCAGCCGCGGUAAUACGAAGGGUGCAAGCGUUACUCGGAAUUACUGGGCGUAAAGCGUGCGUAGGUGGUGGUUUAAGUCCGUUGUGAAAGCCCUGGGCUCAACCUGGGAAUUGCAGUGGAUACUGGAUCACUAGAGUGUGGUAGAGGAUAGUGGAAUUUCCGGUGUAGCAGUGAAAUGCGUAGAGAUCGGAAGGAACAUCUGUGGCGAAGGCGACUAUCUG